UUUCUUCUGACUUUCCGUUUUCGGAUAGCCAACUCUUUUGAUUUUUGGAACUUAUGACUUAUGGCAAGAGAGAAGAAAACUGCAUGACUUUAAAAGAAAACCAGUGAGAUAAAAUCAUAUAAAAUGUAUGAUGAUUCAGGAUGUGGUCAUUUGAGACCUGUUCUGUGGAUGCCCUUAGACAGUGUGUCUACCCAUCACACCAUCUGAUAUCACUUGUUCUGAGCACAUUUCUCUCUCAAACUUAAACUACAGAGAGCCUGUGGAUAGAGGAUGAAGAGUGACCUUGGACUUAUUUUCUAGGUCAAAGAUCAUAGGUGAUGUGAAGGAAAUACCAGGGGACUGAUGUUGAAAGAAGUACUUAAUGACGCUUAUGAAUGGACUUAAAUGUGAAAGACUGUUCCAUUGUUUAUCUAAGAUAUAUGAAUUUAUUUAGUAUUUUGAUAUCAUUGAAAAAUACUGUUACA